UUCAUGGAGAGUUUGAUCCUGGCUCAGGACGAACGCUGGCGGCGUGCCUAAUACAUGCAAGUCGAGCGGACAGAUGGGAGCUUGCUCCCUGAUGUUAGCGGCGGACGGGUGAGUAACACGUGGGUAACCUGCCUGUAAGACUGGGAUAACUCCGGGAAACCGGGGCUAAUACCGGAUGCUUGAUUGAACCGCAUGGUUCAAUUAUAAAAGGUGGCUUUUAGCUACCACUUACAGAUGGACCCGCGGCGCAUUAGCUAGUUGGUGAGGUAACGGCUCACCAAGGCGACGAUGCGUAGCCGACCUGAGAGGGUGAUCGGCCACACUGGGACUGAGACACGGCCCAGACUCCUACGGGAGGCAGCAGUAGGGAAUCUUCCGCAAUGGACGAAAGUCUGACGGAGCAACGCCGCGU
rnacentral:rRNA from 1 species